UGAUCAUUCAGAUCUUAAACCUAACCACUUCCUCAUCCGGUUGUCAGCGCAAUUGGAGUGCUUUUGAAGGGAUUCAUACAAAGAGAAGGAACAAGCUUGAAU